rnacentral:rRNA from 1 species
UGGAUGAAAGGUGACCUCUAUUUGUAAGCUAUCACUGAACGAGGGGAUUGCGUCUGAUUACCUAGUUGGAGGGGCAACGGCCCACCAAGGCAAUGAUCAGCAUCCGGUCUGAGAGGAUGAACGGCCACCUUGGCACUGAUACACGGCCCAAACUCCUACCGCAGGCAACAGUGGGGAAUCUUCCGCAAUGCACAAAAGUCUGACGGAGCAACGCCGCGUGAGUGAUGACGGCCUUCGGGAUGUAAAGCUCUGUAUAAUCGGGACCAAAGGGCCUCUUGCGAAUAGUAUAGAGGAAUUGACGGCACCGGAAUACAAAGCCACGGCUAACUACGUGCCAGCACCCGCGGUAAUACCUAAGUGGCAAGCGUUGUCCGGAAUUAUUGGGCGUACAGCGCGCGCACGCUGAUCAGUCAGUCUGUCUUAAAAGUUCGGGGCUUAACCCCGUGAUGGGAUGGAAACUGCUGAUCUACAGUAUCGGAGAGGAAAGUGUAAUUCCUAGUGUAGCGGUGAAAUGCGUACAUAUUAUGAAGAACACCAGUGGCGAAGGCGACUUUCUGGACGAAAA